rfam:Metarhizium majus ARSEF 297 Scaffold_42, whole genome shotgun sequence.
CGUUCGCCUGCUGCGGACAGAUGUAAUGGAUGUGGGUGUCAAUGCCACCGGCAGUGACAAUCUUGCCCUCGGCGGCGACGACGUCGGUACAGCUGCCGACAACCAUGUUGGGGGUGACGCCGUCCAUGACGUCCGGGCUCCCGGCCUUGCCAAUGCCGACAAUGAGACCGUCCUUGACGCCAAUGUCGGCCUUGUAGAUGCCGGUCCAGUCGACAAUCAGGGCGUUGGUAACGACCACGUCGAGCGCCUCGGCGUCGCGGCGGCCGGUGGCCUGGCCCAUGCCCUCGCGCAG